CCAGAACUAUUAGACAUAUCGAA
rnacentral:miRNA from 1 species